rnacentral:rRNA from 1 species
UACGGAGGAUGCAAGCGUUAUCCGGAUUUAUUGGGUUUAAAGGGUGCGCAGGUUGUUUGAUAAGUCAGUGGUGAAAGUCUGUCGCUUAACGGUAGGAUUGCCAUUGAUACUGUUGGACUUGAAUAUGGAUGAGGUAGGCGGAAUGUGUAGUGUAGCGGUGAAAUGCAUAGAUAUUACACAUAACACCGAUUGCGAAGGCAGCUUACUAGUCCAUCAUUGACGCUGAGGCACGAAAGCGUGGGGAUCAAACA